AUUGAACGCUGGCGGCAUGCUUUACACAUGCAAGUCGAACGGCAGCGCGGGCUUCGGCCUGGCGGCGAGUGGCGAACGGGUGAGUAAUGCAUCGGAACGUGCCCAGUAGUGGGGGAUAGCGCGGCGAAAGCCGGAUUAAUACCGCAUACGACCUGAGGGUGAAAGCGGGGGACCGUAAGACCUCGCGCUAUUGGAGCGGCCGAUGUCGGAUUAGCUAGUUGGUGGGGUAAAGGCUUACCAAGGCGACGAUCCGUAGCUGGUCUGAGAGGACGACCAGCCACACUGGGACUGAGACACGGCCCAGACUCCUACGGGAGGCAGCAGUGGGGAAUUUUGGACAAUGGGGGCAACCCUGAUCCAGCCAUGCCGCGUGCGGGAAGAAGGCCUUCGGGUUGUAAACCGCUUUUGUUCGGGAAGAAAGCCUGUGGGCUAAUACCCCGGGGGGAUGACGUUACCGGAAGAAUAAGCACCGGCUAACUACGUG
rnacentral:rRNA from 1 species